rnacentral:rRNA from 1 species
GACGAACGCUGGCGGCGUGCUUAACACAUGCAAGUCGAACGGAAAGUCCCUGCUUUUGUGGGGUGCUCGAGUGGCGAACUGGUGAGUAACACGUGAGUAACCUGCCCUUGACUUUGGGAUAACUUCAGGAAACUGGGGCUAAUACCGGAUAGGAGCUCCUGCUUCAUGGUGGGGGUUGGAAAGUUUCGGCGGUUGGGGAUGGACUCGCGUCUUAUCAGCUUGUUGGUGGGGUAGUGGCUUACCAAGGCUUUGACGGGUAGCCGGCCUGAGAGGGUGACCGGCCACAUUGGGACUGAAAUACGGCCCAGACUCCUACGGGAGGCAGCAGUGGGGAAUAGUACACAAUGGGCGGAAGCCUGAUGCAGCAAAGCCGCGUGGGGGAUGACGGCCUUCGGGUUGGAAACCGCUUUCGCCUGUGACGAAGCGUGAGUGACGGUAAUGGGUAAAGAAGCACCGGCUAACUACGUG